GGGGAAUUUUGGACAUUGGGGGCAACCUUGAUCCGCCCAUGCCGCGUGAGUGAAGAAGGCCUUCGGUUUGUAAGGCUCUUCCGGAGGGAAAGAAAUCGCCGCUUCUAACAUGGGCGGGGGUUGCCGGUCCCGUAAGAAGAAGCACCGGCUAACUACGUGCCAGCAGCCGCGGUAAUACGUAGGGUGCGAGCGUUAAUCGGAAUUACUGGGCGUAAAGCGUGCGCAGGCGGUUUGGUAAGACAGGUGUGAAAUCCCCGGGCUUAACCUGGGAACUGCGCUUGUGACUGCCAGGCUAGAGUACGGCAGAGGGGGGUGGAAUUCCACGUGUAGCAGUGAAAUGCGUAGAGAUGUGGAGGAACACCGAUGGCGAAGGCAGCCCCCUGGGCCUGUACUGACGCUCAUGCACGAAAGCGUGGGGAGCAAACA
rnacentral:rRNA from 1 species